rnacentral:rRNA from 1 species
UACGUAGGGGCCUAGCGUUGUCCGGAAUUAUUGGGCGUAAAGAGCUCGUAGGCGGUUCGGCAAGUCGGAUGUGAAAUCUCCACGCUCAACGUGGAGGGGCCAUUCGAAACUGCCGUGACUCGAGUCCGGUAGGGGAGUGUGGAAUUCCCGGUGUAGCGGUGAAAUGCGCAGAUAUCAGGAGGAACACCGGUGGCGAAGGCGGGUCUCUGGGCCGAUAUCGACGCUGAGGAGCGAAAGCGUGGGGAGCGAACAGG